UCUUUAAAUGUGGACUAGUAUGAACGGCUUCACGAAGGUUAUACUGUCUCCUUUUUCUAAUCAGUGAAACUAAUUUCCCCGUGAAGAAGCGGGGAUAAAGCUAUAAGACGAGAAGACCCUAUGGAGCUUAAAACGACACAGCACUUACCAAAAAUUUUUAAUGUUUCUGUAACACUAAUUCUUUAAAGUAAAAUGACUGCAAGUUUUCGGUUGGGGUGACCACGGAGUAUAUCAUAACCUCCAUGUUGAAAGAAUUUCUUUCUAAGCCAAGAAUAACCAAUCUAAGCAUUAAUAAAUUAACAUCUAUUGACCCAAUAAAUUUGAUCAACGAACCAAGUUACCCUAGGGAUAACAGCGCAAUCCACUUCAAGAGCUCCUAUCGACAAGUGGGUUUACGACCUCGAUGUUGGAUCAGGGUAUCCCAGUGGUGCAGCCGCUACUAAAGGUUCGUUUGUUCAACGAUUAAAACCCUACGUGA
rnacentral:rRNA from 1 species